rnacentral:rRNA from 1 species
AUCGAACGCUGGCGGCAGGCCUAACACAUGCAAGUCGAGCGAGCGGCGGACGGGCGAGUAAUGUAUGGGGAUUUGCCUGAUGGAGGGGGACAACUACUGGAAACGGUAGCUAAUACCGCAUACCGUCAGUUGAACUCAUAUGGGAGUAGCUAGUAGGUGAGGUAACGGCUCACCUAGGCGAAGAUCCCUAGCUGGUCUGAGAGGAUGAUCAGCCACCCUGGGACUGAGACACGGCCCAGACUCCUACGGGAGGCAGCAGUGGGGAAUAUUGCACAAUGGGCGCAAGCCUGAUGCAGCCAUGCCGCGUGUAUGAAGAAGGCCUUCGGGUUGUAAAGUACUUUCAGUCGGGAGGCGUUACCGACAGAAGAAGCACCGGCUAACUCCGUGCCAGCAGCCGCGGUAAUAC